rnacentral:misc_RNA from 1 species
GAUGAAGAACGUAGCGAAAUGCGAUAAGUAAUGUGAAUUGCAGAAUUCAGUGAAUCAUCGAAUCUUUGAACGCACCUUGCGCCCCUUGGUUAUUCCAAAGGGCAUGCCUGUUUGAGUGUCAUGAACACCUCAACUCUUGUGGUUUCCCACAAUGAGCUUGGACUGUGGAGGUUUUGUUGGCCCUGUGGUCAGCUCCUCUCAAAUGGAUCAGCUUACCGGUGUUUGGUAGCAUUACGGGUGUGAUAACUAUCUACGCUCGUGGUCGUCUCCAAAUAACCUCCAGUGAUGGAGGUUCGCUGGAGCUUAUAAAUGUCUCUCCCCAGUGAAGACAGCCUUUGAACGUUCGAUCUCAAAUCAGGUAGGACUACCCGCUGAACUUAAGCAUAUCAAUAAGCGGAGGA